GGAAGGAUCAUUAACGAAUAAACUUGGUGGGCUGUAGCUGGCUCUUUGGAGCAUGUGCACGUCUGCUGACUUUAUCUAUCCACCUGUGCACCUUUUGUAGUCUUGGGGGGGUUGAUAGUGGCUGACUCUCGAUAGGCCCUUGUGGCUGAUCGGAUGUGGGGAAUGCUGGUUAGCUUUUCUCAAGAGGCCCUGACUUUCCCUCAGGUCUAUGUAUUUUCAUAUACCACGUAGUAUGUUGCAGAAUGUAUUCAUGGGCCUCUGUGCCUAUAAAACCUUAUACAACUUUCAGCAACGGAUCUCUUGGCUCUCGCAUCGAUGAAGAACGCAGCGAAAUGCGAUAAGUAAUGUGAAUUGCAGAAUUCAGUGAAUCAUCGAAUCUUUGAACGCACCUUGCGCUCCUUGGUAUUCCGAGGAGCAUGCCUGUUUGAGUGUCAUUUAAUUCUCAACCCUUCCAGCUUUUGUGGCUGGUUGUGGCUUGGAUAUGGGAGACUUUGCAGGCCUCUGUAUUUGAGGUCAGCUCUCCUGAAAUGCAUUAGCGGAACUGUUUGCAGUCCGUCACUGGUGUGAUAAUUAUCUACGCCAAAAGACAACUGCUCUCUGUCUGUUCAGCUUAUAACUGUCUCUCUGUAGACAACUUUGAACGUUUGACCUCAAAUCAGGUAGGACUACCCGCUGAACUUAAGCAUAUCAAUAAGCGGAGGAAAAGAAACUAACAAGGAUUCCCCUAGUAACUGCGAGUGAAGCGGGAAAAGCUCAAAUUUAAAAUCUGGCGGUCCAUGGCCGUCCGAGUUGUAAUCUAGAGAAGUGUUACCCGCGCUGGACCGUGUACAAGUCUCCUGGAAUGGAGCGUCAUAGAGGGUGAGAAUCCCGUCUCUGACACGGACUACCAGGGCUUUGUGGUAUGCUCUCAAAGAGUCGAGUUGUUUGGGAAUGCAGCUCAAAAUGGGUGGUAAAUUCCAUCUAAAGCUAAAUAUUGGCGAGAGACCGAUAGCGAACAAGUACCGUGAGGGAAAGAUGAAAAGAACUUUGGAAAGAGAGUUAAACAGUACGUGAAAUUGCUGAAAGGGAAACGCUUGAAGUCAGUCGCGUUGGCCAGGGAUCAGCCUCGCAAUUGCGUGGUGUACUUUCUGGUUGACGGGUCAGCAUCAAUUUUGACCGUUGGAAAAAGGUUUGGGGAAUGUGGCAGCUCCGGCUGUGUUAUAGCCCCUUGCCAUAUACAACGGUUGGGAUUGAGGAACUCAGCACGCCGCAAGGCCGGGUUUCGACCACGUCCGUGCUUAGGAUGCUGGCAUAAUGGCUUUAAGCGACCCGUCUUGAAACACGGACCAAGGAGUCUAACAUGCCUGCGAGUGUUUGGGUGGAAAACCCGAGCGCGUAAUGAAAGUGAAAGUUGAGAUCCCUGUCGUGGGGAGCAUCGACGCCCGGACCAGAACUUUUGGGACGGAUCCGCGGUAGAGCAUGUAUGUUGGGACCCGAAAGAUGGUGAACUAUGCCUGAAUAGGGUGAAGCCAGAGGAAACUCUGGUGGAGGCUCGUAGCGAUUCUGACGUGCAAAUCGAUCGUCAAAUUUGGGUAUAGGGGCGAAAGACUAAUCGAACCAUCUAGUAGCUGGUUCCUGC
rnacentral:misc_RNA from 1 species